AGUCGCCAUGUUGGUUGAGAAUAAAGGGAUGGUUUUGGAGGCCUGGGCGGACUUCUUUGAUGAGGGGAAACCGCUUUCGCGGGAUCUGGUGGAUGUAGAUAUAUGGGUUUAUAGUUGGGGAAACUUAAUUGCCAGGAGGCGAGACUGAGAGUGUCACAGGGAUUGGACUUGACCUCAGACAUCUUGACGCUCAAACCAGGAUUCUAGCAGUUGAGUUAUUCAGUUUCACGUUAAUCCACAGGCAGACGGGACUUUUCUUUCUCUGUUUCUUCCCUUCCUCCCUACCCUUUUACCUUCUUAGCUGCCCUUCUCACUUUUUUCUCUUUCCCUUUUUAUUUCUUUCAGUAAAAAUGGUAGCAAGAAGAGAAGAAAAUGGGCAUACUUACGGAGAAUUGAAAAUCAAAAAAAUGAUUAAGAUAAAUUCAAGAAGGCCGGGCGCGGUGGCUCACGCCUGUAAUCCCAGCAGUCUGUGGGGGCAGAGGCGGGUGGAUCACUCGAGGUCCGGAGUUCGAGACCAGCCUGACCAAAAUGGAGAAACCCCCGUCUCUGCUAAAAAAAAAAAAAAAAAAAAAAAAAAAAAAAAAAAAAAAAAAAAAAAUUAGCGCGGCGUGGUGGCACAUGCCUGUAAUCCCAGCUACUAGGGAGGCUGAGGCAGGAGAAUCGCUUGAACCCUGGAGGCAGAGGUUGCGUGCGGUGAGCCGAGAUUGCGCCAUUGCACUCCAGCCUGGGCAAGAAGAGCGAAACUCCGUCUCAAAAAAAAAAAAAAAGAUAAAUUCAGGAGAGUGAUUUCUUCUGUGAGGGAAGAAAGGGGAUAUGUUAUGGGAGAAGCCCGAAAAGUGGGAGUUUGGGGGCUCACUCAUGAUCUUCCCUGGGACUGGAGCAAAUAAACCCUAACCCCUCUCCAGGUCUGUUUUCUGAUCUGUAAAAUAAAAGAGUACACUCAGUUAUCUCUAAGGCCUUUUCCAGGCCUUUAUAUUCUCUGAGUCCAUGAAAACAGAUUGUGGAAGAUAAAGUGUUGGAUUCCUUUCCUUCAGCUAAAUAUUGUGGCUAUAGUAGAUAGGGGCUCUGGGAAUAUUACCUCUCUCUGUUUUAAUUUUUCAUCUAUAAAAUGUAGAUAAUAAUAGUACUUCCUAUUGUGAAUAUUAAUACAGCACCCAACACUGUAAGUGCUCACUGAACAUUAUUAUUGCUAACUUAAGCAAUAUAUUUAAGGCCUAAUUUUCAGGGAAAAUCUUUGUGUGGAUUAUGCAACCACAGUGAACUUGUGGGCCCAGGAGUCUGUGCCAUCUGUGUACAUCCCUGCUAGAGGAAAAAGAGGAGGAGCUAAAGAUGCUGUAGUUGGAAAUACCAAGGGGGAAUGGUCUCUGUAGGAGGAUUUACCCAAGGUAAAACCUAUGAGAGAUCCAGGCUUCUGGGGGUUUCCAUAUGUCUCAGAAACUCAGGUGUGGUCUCCCAGUGCCCCACCAAGAAGUGAUUCAGCACAGGGAAGAGAACCACUAGGCUCACAGAUCAACAGAUUCCUGCUCCCCUGGGCUUUUCCCUUGAUGUCCACACAACCAGCAGCCUUGCUCCAUCAGGUAGAUGACGUGGGAUUGGCUGAGGCAGGUCAGGUGGCGAGUGUGGCAUUGCUGAUGCAUUGCUUGCAGAACCGCAGUCUAUCAGUAAGGCAUGUUGUCAACACAGCAUGUUAUUUCCUGCCUUAUUGCACUCACCUUAAACGGAAUUGCUAUUGUUCAGUGAUUAGACAGGGCUUUCCCCAGGGCUGGUUC
rnacentral:lncRNA from 1 species